CGAUGAAGAACGCAGCGAAAUGCGAUAAGUAAUGUGAAUUGCAGAAUUCAGUGAAUCAUCGAAUCUUUGAACGCACAUUGCGCCCCCUGGUAUUCCGGGGGGCAUGCCUCUUCCAGCGUCAUUUCACCCCUCAAGCUCUGCUUGGUUUUGGGCCGCGCCGGCAACGGCGGGCCUCGAAAAUAGUGGGCGACGCCAUCGUGCUCUCAGCGUAGUAAUUCUUCUCGCUGUUGGGUCCCGGUGGUCGUCCGCCAGCAACCCCCAACUUUCUUAAGUUUGACCUGGGAUGAGGUAGGGAUACCCGCUGAACUUAAGCAUAUCAAUAAGCGGAGGAACGGAGGAGCAUAUCAAUAAGCGGAGGA
rnacentral:rRNA from 1 species